rnacentral:rRNA from 1 species
AUUGAACGCUGGCGGCAGGCCUAACACAUGCAAGUCGAACGAGUGGCGGACGGGUGACUAUUGUCUGGGAAACUGCCUGAUGGACGGGGCUAACUAUUGGAAACGGUAGCUAAUCCCGCAUACCAUCAGAUGUGCCUAGAUGGGAUUAGCUAGUUGGUGGGGUAACGGCGCACCAAGGCGCCGAUCCCUAGCUGGUCUGAGAGGAUGCCCAGCCACACUGGAACUGAGACACGGUCCAGACUCCUACGGGAGGCAGCAGUGGGGAAGAUUUGACAAUGGGCGCAAGACUGAUGGAGCCAUGCAGCGUGUAUGAAGAAGGCCUUCGGGUUGUAAAGUACUUUCAGCGGGGAGGCGUUACCCGCAGAAGAAGCACCGGCUAACUCCGUGCCAGCAGCCGCGGUAAUAC